AAGUGCACAUGGUGGAUGCCUUGGCAUCGAGAGCCGAUGAAGGACGUUGGAGUCUGCGAAAAGCCCCGGGAAGGUGACAACCGACCUGUGAUCCGGGGAUGUCCGAAUGGGGAAACCCACCUGGAGGAAAGUCCAGGUACCUGCGCCUGAACACAU
rnacentral:sRNA from 1 species